rnacentral:rRNA from 1 species
UAAUACCGGAUGCUCCGCUCCAUCGCAUGGUGGGGUGGGAAAUGCUUUUGCGGCAUGGGAUGGGGUCGCGUCCUAUCAGCUUGUUGGCGGGGUGAUGGCCCACCAAGGCGUUGACGGGUAGCCGGCCUGAGAGGGUGACCGGCCACAUUGGGACUGAGAUACGGCCCAGACUCCUACGGGAGGCAGCAGUGGGGAAUAUUGCACAAUGGGCGCAAGCCUGAUGCAGCGACGCCGCGUGCGGGAUGGAGGCCUUCGGGUUGUAAACCGCUUUUGUUCAAGGGCAAGGCACGGUUUCGGCCGUGUUGAGUGGAUUGUUCGAAUAAGCACCGGCUAACUACGUGCCAGCAGCCGCGGUAAUACGUAGGGUGCGAGCGUUAUCCGGAUUUAUUGGGCGUAAAGGGCUCGUAGGCGGUUCGUCGCGUCCGGUGUGAAAGUCCAUCGCCUAACGGUGGAUCUGCGCCGGGUACGGGCGGGCUGGAGUGCGGUAGGGGAGACUGGAAUUCCCGGUGUAACGGUGGAAUGUGUAGAUAUCGAAAAG